rnacentral:rRNA from 1 species
CCUACGGGUGGCAGCAGUGGGGAAUAUUGGGCAAUGGGCGCAAGCCUGACCCAGCAACGCCGCGUGAAGGAAGAAGGCUUUCGGGUUGUAAACUUCUUUUCUCAGGGACGAAGCAAGUGACGGUACCUGAGGAAUAAGCCACGGCUAACUACGUGCCAGCAGCCGCGGUAAUACGUAGGUGGCAAGCGUUAUCCGGAUUUACUGGGUGUAAAGGGCGUGUAGGCGGGAAAGCAAGUCAGAUGUGAAAACCAUGGGCUCAACCUGUGGCCUGCAUUUGAACCUGUUUUUCUUGAGUACUGGGGAGGCAGACGGAAUUCCUAGUGUAGCGGUGAAAUGCGUAGAUAUUAGGAGGAACACCAGUGGCGAAGGCGGUCUGCUGGACAGCAACUGACGCUGAGGCGCGAAAGCGUGGGGAGCAAACAGGAUUAGAUACCCGAGUAGUC